rnacentral:rRNA from 1 species
ACGUAGGUGGCAAGCGUUAUCCGGAUUUAUUGGGCGUAAAGGGUGCGCAGGCGGAUUGUUAAGUUCGAGGUGAAAGCGUUGGGCCCAACCCAAUAUAGCCUUAAAUACUGGCAAUCUAGAGUGCAGAAGAGGGUAAUGGAAUUCCAUGUGUAGCGGUAAAAUGCGUAGAUAUAUGGAGGAACACCAGCGGCGAAGGCGGUUACCUGGUCUGUAACUGACGCUCAGGCACGAAAGCGUGGGGAGCAAAUAG